rnacentral:lncRNA from 10 species
CUACCUGCUUCCCAGCUGCAGGGCGCAGGAGGUUGCAGCCAGGCUAACAGAAACCCAGCCCUGCCCACUGGGUGAAACUGCAAGUCGAGAGCGUGGGAAACCAGCAAGUUGAGAGAGGAUCCAGAAGUAACCCCUUCUAAAACGGGAAAGAUGCCUUCCGAAAGCACUUGGCCCUAAAGAGAAAACACUAGGAGGAUGGGAACCAGGGACAGAGAAGCUACUUGCUCUGCAGCUGUUUGGGCCAGUAUGUUCCCUAAUCUUGAUGGCCAUCCUGGGCUUAUUUUCCUGAGAGUCUCUAAGUGACUCACUGCAUCACGUAAAACUAAGAAAAAGGAUGUCCUGAAUUUUCCUGCUUAGAGAGCUUGUUUUUCUUUCCUGUUGCAUCAAAGGGGUCUGUUAAACUUUCUAAAAGUACUAAUCUGACCUGAUAUCUGAAGUAACAGAUAGGAAUUUGGGCUCUUUAAAUGGAGCCCUUCCCCCAUACCUGCAUCUCAUUGAAGAGGCUGAACUUCAAAACAAAAUCAUGUUGGAGAAUUAAGUCUCGUUCCCAGAUUUAAUUUCUUAUUUUUAUAUUGUUGCAUAAGAAAUCUACUCUAUAAGGCAUCUAUUUUCAAAUUUGGAAAAUCUUAUUUUAAGUUCAUUUAUUUAAAGACCAACAAACAAAAACACCAAAUUCACUAGCCCAGGUCUUUAUGGACCACCAUCUCCCCUCCCCAUGAUCCAAUGGCCCCAUCUAGACUGGAGACACCAACUCAUGACUCAGCUGGCCUUGUGGCCCACACCCAGAAGUGGACUCAGUGCAUGAGGACUAUUUUCCACACUCCUAUGAUAGCAUCCCCAACCAAUCAGCAGGACCAUUUCCUAGCCCCUUGCCCACCAAACUAUCUUUUAAAAAACCUGGCUGGGCGCAGUGGCUCACACCUGCAAUCCCAGCACUUUGGGAGUCUGAGGUGGGUGGAUCACGAGGUCAGGAGUUCAAGACCAGCCUGGCUAAGAUGGUGAAACCCUGUCUCUACUAAAAAUACAAAAAAAAUUAGCCGGGCAUGGUGGCAGGCACCUGUAAUCCCAGCUACUUGGGAGGUUGAGGCAGAGAAUUGCUUGAACCCAGAGGCGGAGGUUACAGUGAGCCGAGAUCACUCCACUGCACUCCAGCCUGGAUAACAGAGCAAGACUCUGUCUCAAGGAAAAAAAAAAACAACCUAGCCUCCACAUUUUCAGAGAGGCUCGUUUGAGUAAUAAUAAAACUCUGGUCUCCCAUUUAGCUGGCUCUUCUUGUAUUAAACUCUUUUUCUAUUGCAAUAACCCUGUCUUGAUAAAUUAGCUUCAUCUGGGAAGCAGGCAAGAAGAACUUAUUGGAUGGUUAUAUAGUGGGCUUCUAGCAUGGCCUAGAGAUGCAGAGGCCAUGGCAGAUAAAGCCAACUUCCUCCAACUGAGUAGAGGACUCAGGGGCCCAGAGGAGUCAGAAGGGGAGAUGGGAGCCAAGGAUGAGGAAGAACUCCUGGAAAGGCCUGAGAAAGAAGGACCCUAAGUUUAGCAUCUUAGGUCCCGAAAAAUGGCUGAAGGAGAGGAAAAGAUGGAGAGAAAGAGUAUUGUGACAUGAACCUGCCCCUGUGCCUCGAGUUCCUGGGAGUUUCUUGUUAGCUUCUGUGUCCUGUUUUUCUGUAUCCUCUGCAAAGGAAAGAUGAAAUCUGUUGCCACAUAGGCGAUGGGGUUCAGGACACACUACUCCAAAAGAUGGCAUCUUGUCAUAUUGAAGAAAAUAGCAGAAACUGGACCAUUGGUCUUACCUUUCCCCAUACUUCUCCCCUGAAGUGGAUUAUAAAACCUAGGAAGGACUCUCUGACUGAGACGGUUUGGCUGUGUCUCCACCCAAAUCUCAUCUUGAAUUGUAACUCCCACAAUUCCCACAUGUCAUGGGAGGAACCCAGUGGGAGGUGAUUGAAUUAUGGGGGCGAGUCUUUCCUGCACUGUUCUUGUGAUAGUGAAUGAGUCUCAUGAGAUCUGAUGGUUUGAUAAGGGGAAGCCCGUUUUGCUUGGCUCUCAUUCUCUCUCUUUGCCUGCCACCAUCCACGUAGGAUGUGACUUGCUCCUCCUUGUUUUCCAACAUGAUUGUGAGGCCUCCCCAGCCACGUGGAACUGUAAGUCCAUUAAACCUCUUUCUUUUAUAAAUUGCCCAGUCCAGGUAUGCCUUUAUCAGCAGCAUGAAAACCAACUAAUACACUGACCUUCCCCUAAAGUAGGUUAUAUGACCCUCAUCUGACAGAUGCCCUCCUUAGACCUACAGGGAAGGAAAAAGCAUCCUUAUCUCUGAAAAUGGAGGAACACAGAGAAAAAUUCAAACAAACAGGCCUCGUUAAGUCCCUGCCCCAUUUAUUACCAUUAGAUAAUAUUCUUUGUCCUAUCAUAUUUCUCCAUGACUGUUCAUUCUUCAUCAAACCUAGAAUAAAAACACUCAAAUGUACCUGUUUCUUUGGUCUUCAUUUCCUUAUGAAGGCUCUCAUGUCACGUAAAACUUAUUUGAAAUAAACCUGUAUGGUUUUCUGAUUAAGCUGCUUUUUGUUACAGGCCAUAAACCUAGGAUAGGUAGAGAAAAGGAUAUUUUUCCUCCCCUACAUUGAUCCAGAUGCAAUCACCACCAUUAGCAGUGCUUGCUUGACUUUGACUGCUCAAGAAAAGUUAGUGGAUUUGCACCCACUCACCCACUCCCAUCCCCAUUUCUAUGAAACACAUGAUUUAGCAUUGUGCUAGAAGAGCAGAGAUUUGAGCUCUUCUUAGAGGCCGCUCUAGCAUGCUGCUUCUUCUGAGAGAUAGCAAGUAAGACCCUCAUGGCCAUGCAUCCAAGGUUUGCUGCCUUGAGGGCCACUGCUUUUUACCUUUACAUUGCUGCCUUACUAAGUCCCAGCAGUCCAGGAAAAUUUCCUGGAUUCAGACGUUCCGAUUAUUCUGAAAAUUUAUUUUUCCUGCCCUCCACUCACAGAACUGCUUAGACAGAGUGACUAUAUACCAUUGACUGUAAAUUCAUGAUCAAUUAAAGAAAAUAACUUCUCUAAUCCAAGUCCAAAGGCUGAUAACAGAGGCCCAGGGACUCCUGAGCUAUCAGAGGGAGGCACUAGGCUAGUCUCCCAGUGAAAUCAAGCAAAGAGAGAAAUCAUUAGAGGAGCCAUGUUUAUUGUUUGAAUUUUAUGAAUACAUAGAAUUCUAUGAAUCAAAAAAGGGAAGUUCACAUUGGUUCUGUGCAGCAUGUGAUAAACCACAGCAUUGCUAUCUACAUUUUUUUUCUUUCUUUAUGAUCAGUAGCCUCUCAAUAAAGUGGAUAUUUUGAGUGUUGCAGUACCAGAUACAGACAUAGGUUGUAAAGAAGAAGAGUUUUUCCACUUGUUAAAGAGAUAGGAGUAAAGCAGCAAAAGUCUGGAACAUUUCUGGGGGUAUAUUGCUUAUCAGAGUGUUCAGUUAUUCUAAGGCCAACUUCAUUUUCUAUGGUUUUUCUUAAGAAAACAUUUGUGAAAAUAUCCAAUUAUGAGUACAAACUACCUCCCAUGAAUUAUCUGUGAUGUCUAUACUGAUUCCCCAUGGAUGUUUAUAUAGCCAGAUGUUUGAAAUCUUGGGCACCAUCUCCUCUGACAUAAACAAUUUUCUGUGAAACCUUCCAUGUUAACCAGUGGUACCUGAUUCUCAAAUCUGAUGUAAAUCUAGCAUAUACUCUUCUCCCACACAAUGUCUUUGACUGUAACUGUUUUGCUAUUAUACUGAAAGUACACACUCUUUUCUCCUAACCAUGGGCCCCAAUUCCCACAAGAUGAGGACAAACUACAGAGUAGCAGAGGGAAAAGACCAUUGCUUUUCCUCUUUGAAGACUUUCUAUGAAAUUUCAUCUUUCUGCUCUGCGGAUGGCGUUUUAUGUUGGGAAAAUAGUAGAACUCAUAAUUUGGUCUCCUGGACUUAAUUUCUAAUUACUUCAUAUUGGUGACUUUUUUUUAACCUCAAAGAGGAAAACGGCAAGCCCUAAAUGCCUGUUUUUCUCCUUUUUUGGCCCAAGUGGGUAACUGAGGCUCAGUUUACAUACAUCAAAUUACCAAAAUGCUGUCUUGUAUAUAGUUUUGAAAGAUAGAGAUGGGUUUGUAAUGUUUUUCAGACCUGAUUCAGAGCUCAAUUUAGUUUUUCUUUUGGUAUUCAGGCUAUUAUAUUCGUCAUAAAAACAGGCACUGUGUGUGCCUUAGUAAAUAAUUUAUAACUUUCCCCAUAACUCAGGGGAACCCACCAUAGUCUGACUGUCUGCCUUUUACCUUCUCAUCUCUAUACCUCCAGGUCUCUAGUGAUCAUAAAAGUGAUCGAAGCCCUGAUCUGAUUUUUAUCACAAAGCCAUUCUUCUUUGUGGGUACUUUGGUUCUGGAGACAGAGAAUCAUGAGAUCAGAUAAAGCCAUGUGGAGGGCUGAAAGUUGGCUGGAAUGGCGCUUGGGGCCCAGUUUAUGCUGUUGGAGCAUUUCCUGUGUGCCCUUUGAAACCUCUGAACUCAGCUCUUCAAAGUGAGAGCUUUGUCUUUCCGCUGAACACAUAUAUUUGCUACUUAUUAUCUUUCUCUUGCCAUCUCCACCCUUACUUGACUCAGCCAACAUCGAUAUAUCAAAGCAAAAGCAUUGCUCUGACUGAGUCAUAAGUUAUACUUUUACCUGACAUUAUCUGGCUGUGUAGAAAUGAAAGCAUAAAAAUAAUGGAGGUUUUGUGUACAGGUCUACACACACACACACACACACACACACACACACACACACACACACACACACACGUCUUCUUCUUUGCUUCACUUAUCAUGCUCUCACUACUUCCACUGUUUCUCUCCCCAACUCCUGCCCACUCCCACUCAUAGCAGUUUAUUAAAGAAGUAUGUUUUCUCAUGAGCCAAUUGGGUAAUUUUUCAAGUUGAACCCCAUUAACAUUAUAAAUGCCGUUAUAAAUGCUUGUUUUUCAAAAAUUUGUCUUUCCAAAACUUUGUUCUGGGUCAGAAAAUUUAUUUCUCUUUAGAGAGCCAGUGUUGCAUGAGGAAAUUGAAGCUGAUCUCUGGGUGUGUGUUUGUGCUAAUUUGCUGUACAAUCAAAUACAGAUAUAGGUUAAUAAAUGCUGUUCUUUGAUCUGUUGCUACAAAGGAUUCAUUGUAAAUACAUUACUAGAUAAGUAAGUUAGAACUUUGUAACUGUCUCUUGCAAACGGUGCCCCAUGCCACCCAUUAGCAUGUGCAAGAAGUGAUACAUUUGGCUUCAGCCUGCCUGGGUUUUACUUUGCUGAUUUGUUUAUUUUUAAAAUAGUUACCCAUAGUAUACUUCCAUUUGGGGUGUCCUCAUAGAAGGAUAGCACUCAGGCAGAGAAAUAGCCCAAAAAAACAAUAACAGCACCAAAAACUUGGUAGCAAGAAUUUAAUAAAACCAAGGGAGGCCAAUGUUUCUAUAGGUAACCAUUUAACAUUUGUCAUUAUGUGUCUAGCUCUAGCCAAGGCAUUGCAAAGAAUGCAAAAAGACAUGAUCAAAGGCCUCAAGAUGUUUACAGUCCUGUUAGGGGAUGAAGGUAUUGGAGUGAAUCACAUUCACUAAAAUGGGAAUAAAGACUUCUACCUUAAAAUCAUGGUGUUUUUCAGGGAAUCAGAACUAAUAUGAUAUGACUGGAGUUAAUAUGUUAUUGUGGGGGAUGGGGAGGAGUAGACUAUUGGUAGUUGUGGCUACAAAUUUGGCAGGAUUCAAAUAUUGAAAGGGAUUUGUAUGUCAAGCUAAAGAAUUAUAAUUUUUCUCUAUAGACAAUGGGGGAAUUAACCACCGAAGAAUUUUGAGUUGGUGAAUGACAUAAAAAGAUUUGUAUUUUAGAAAAAUAACUGGCAUGUUGCGGGGUGUGAAAUGAAGUAAAAGAAGUCUUCAGUUGUGAAGUUACAUGUCCAUUGAGUCUAGCAGAUACCAAACAAUCACAUCAAAAUCCUGAAAUAAUAAUAAAUAAAGAAUUCUACCUUGUCUGUCUCAGUGAUUGUACGUGGAG